rnacentral:rRNA from 1 species
GAAACACGGACCAAGGAGUCUAGCAUGUGCGCGAGUCAUUGGGACUCUGAUAAACCUAAAGGCGCAAUGAAAGUAAAGGUCCGCCUCGCGCGGACCGAGGGAGGAUGGGCCCGUCCCCGGACGGGCCCCGCACUCCCGGGGCGUCUCGUUCUCAUCGCGAGAAGAGGCGCACCCAGAGCGUACACGCUGGGACCCGAAAGAUGGUGAACUAUGCCUGGUCAGGACGAAGUCAGGGGAAACCCUGAUGGAGGUCCGUAGCGAUUCUGACGUGCAAAUCGAUCGUCGGAACUGGGUAUAGGGGCGAAAGACUAAUCGAACCUUCUAGUAGCUGG